rnacentral:lncRNA from 1 species
UCUCAUGCUCUCAUGUAAUGCAACACAUCACAACUAGUCACAUCAAGGAUGGUAUUGUCACCAAUAGUCCUCUACAUUCCAAAGUGCCGGGACGUAGAAUGGGUCAACCGGUCUUUCUCUUAAACAUAUCAUAACAUAACAUUCCAAGAUGCCGGGACGUAGAAUGGGUUAACCGGUCUUUCUCUUACAUAGUGUCGGGACGUAGAAUGGGUCAACCGGACUUUCAUACCAUAUCAUGCCGUAUCAUCAUCAUAUCAUAUCAUAUGAGGACUAAAGGAUCAUUCAAUAACCAAUCCGCAUCAACAUCAUAAAAUACAAUGCAACAUAUUCGUGAAUUCUAAUGCAAACAACCUA